rnacentral:rRNA from 1 species
UACGAAGGGGUCUAGCGUUGUUCGGAAUCACUGGGCGUAAAGCGCACGUAGGCGGAUGUGUCAGUCAGGGGUGAAAUCCCGGAGCUCAACUUCGGAACUGCCUCUGAUACAGCACAUCUUGAGUCCGGAAGAGGUGGGUGGAAUUCCUAGUGUAGAGGUGAAAUUCGUAGAUAUUAGGAAGAACACCGGUGGCGAAGGCGGCCCACUGGUCCGGUACUGACGCUGAGGUGCGAAAGCGUGGGGAGCAAACAGG